ACGUCCCCCCUAUUCUGAGACAUGUGCAGUCUAAUGAGUCACAUAUGAGUCCCUGAGAUUUCCAUUCACAAAAGGAUUGCUUUGGGUAGACUGAGUACUAUACGGUGCCCUGGGUACGAUAUUUAUAUAUAGGAUACUUCUUCGUAAUGACAGGGGAUUAUUUUCCUUGUAAAAGCUGUGUUCCCUCACUAUUCAUUAGGAGGUUUUUGGGUGAUAGAGUUAGAGAUUUUGGUGAUUAGCCUAGCCUUCUUUUUGAGACAGACUUCCAUGCAAUCAACAUCUGCCUCCCCCAAGGUGUCCACCAACUGUGGUCUGAAUGCGUCUUGCUACAAAUCCAGAUGUUGAAAUCCUAACCCUUAAAGGUGAUGGUAUUGGAAGGUGGGGCCUUUGAGAGGUGCUUAAGUCAUGAAGGUGGAGUCCUCAUGAAUGAGAUGAUUGGCUACAGGAAAGGCUCCAGGAAGAUCCCUGGCCCCUUCCACCAUGUGAGGACACAGCGAGAAGGCACCAGCUAUGAACCAGGAGGAGAGCCCUCAUCCGACCGUGCUGGCAACUUGAAUUUGAACUUCCUGCCUCCAGAAGGGCAAGGAACUCCUUCUAACAAGGACAACAUGGAGUACAUCAUUUUAUUGUUAGCUUAGAAUUUUGGAGACAGACAAGCAAAACAUCCAGAAAAAAAUUGAAAGGAUAAGGAGACUGAAAAUUGAAGAGACAAGUAUAUUGGGCUGAAUGGUGGCUCCUAAACAAUGAGAUCCUAAUCCCAGGAAGGUGUCAAUGUUACCGUACAUGGUAAAGUCUUUGCAGGAGAAAGGCAGAGCAAGAUUUGACCACAUGCAAGAGGGACCAGAGGGAGAUUUGAAGAUGCUGACCUUGACAUGAUCAGCCACAAGCCAAGGAGUGCUGGCAGCCACCAGAAGCUGGAAGAGUAAAGGAAUAGAUUCUCCCUGAGAGCCUUCAGAGGGAGCCUGGCCCUGCUGAGAUCUUGAUGUUGGGCUUGUGGCCUCCAGAACUGUGAGAAAAUAAAUGUCUGUUGUUUGAAGUCACCCAAUUUGUGGUAAUUUGUUACAACAGCCAAAGGAAACUAAUGCACUGAGUAACUUGCCGUGAGUCUCAAAAUUACUAACAGAGCCAGAACUGGAACUCAGGUCUUUCAGAUCCCCAAACCCAGGCCCUGUAUGAGUAUGAUUUAGUCUUUCCAAGGUCAAUGGAGGAGACAGACAGGGCGGAUAGACCAUGAAAAGAGAACAGAUAACUGGUUAAUCUUUCAUUCACUCAACCACUAUUGAGCAUCUACUCCCCACUUCUUUUCCUUAGAAAAUGAUGCGUUGAAUGGCCCUUUUCCUUCCUAUCCUCCACUCCAUUUCUUUCUUCUUUGGAAGAAAUAUAAGGAAAGUUUAAUAUAUAGACCUAAUUCCUCUGUCCGUGACUUCUAUAUGAAUCUUUGAAAUUAGAGAUUGUAAAGCCGGAGAGGAGCAAACCACAUCUAAUCAUUGCGUUGGUUUGAAAUGACAGCACUGAGAGAAUACAGAAAGAGGUGGGACUGCUUUAGAAAGGCAGCUGCAAUGUAGAGAUGUUUACCAAAUUGAAAACAAGAUAGUUACUUUGUAACAUACUGGCAUCGGUUGUUUCCAAUUUCAAGCCCGCCAACCAUCAGGUGCGCUGAGUUCUCAGCGCUAGGAAAGCUCCUUUGGGGAAUUGUUUUUGCUUUAGUUCAGGUGCACAAAAUCCUUGAUUCAGGACAUUUUCAUUACAUGGAUUUUAAAGGUAACGCUUCUCGAGUUUCCCCAAUUAAGAUGCUGCUUCUGGUAGGUAAUUUGUAGAUAACCUUUAUCAAAUGAAAUUCCCUUUUAUUCUUAAUUUACAAAGAGUUCUUGUCGUGUUUUUAUGUUGACCUUUAUCAAAUGCUUUUUCUGUAGUGAUUGACGUGUAAACAGAGAUUUUAUCUUGUGAUUUAU